GCUCCUGUCAACAUGUUCUGAGGCAAAUAGUUAGCAUAUUGAGGAAUAGGAGAGUCGGGAGAGAGAGGUCUAAACUCCAAUGACGUAUGAGAACCUGGUGAGGAUGGUCUCAGCUCUUUCAACCAAUGCUCCAGGAAAGACAGCUUGUAGUCAGACUCUGAGGAUAGAGAAUCAGGUGACAGCGGUCGUAGUGCCAUCACACAUUCACCAACCACAUUUUUGAAUGCCUCAUCUGAUCCUGAUAGAGGGGACUCUGGUCUCACCUCAUAUGGCACUUGUUCAUAGUUCCAGUUGGUAUCAAAGUACUCUAUGUCUGAUGUUGCUGAGUGAGGAGAUGCAGAUCUGUUCCACUGAAUGGCAGGCACUGUAGACAUAUUAAAUUGAGGUACAGGGGAGUCAGGAGUAAGGGCUCUAGUGAAGGAAUUAGACUCAGAUGAAGGCCUGUCCUCAAGGAAGAAGUCUUCCAGAUAAUACUCUUCGCUCUCACUGUCUGAUAUUGCAGAAAUGGGAGAUAAGCUUUGGAUACCAGUGGAGUGCAUUGAGAUAGUCAAUGGAAUUUCAUACUGUGGAACUGGAGAGUCAGGGGAGAGCGGCCUGUAUUCAUCGAGUGAUGAAAUAGAUUCAGGAGAGAAGGCUCUCACUUCUUCAAGCCACUUUGAGAAAAAUAAGCAGUAGUCUGUUUCAGAUAUCAGUGACUCCGGUGUCAAUGGUCUAUAUUUAGUCAAAUAUUUACUGGUGGUUUCAUCAUCUAAAAUGACUGAUUCUGGUGAAUCGGGUCUGUCCUCGUCAAACAACUCUGCCAGACAGAGGUCAGAGUACUCAACAUCUGACGCUAGAGAUACGGGAGAUGAUGAUCGUUUACCUGUGAAGUUUAACAGUUCAAAUGUCUGGCAGCCAUAUUCAGGAAUAGGUGAAUCAGGAGACAGAGGUCUACAUGCAUCUGGUGAAUAUGAUGAAUCUGGACACCACGUUCUGUCUUCAUUGAACAACUCAUUCAGACACAACUCAGAAUACUCAAUGUCUAGGAUUGGUGAUGUAGGAGAGGAUGAUCUACUUCCUGUGUAGAUUGACGUCUCAAAUUUCACAUUACCAUAGUCAGGAAUAGGUGAAUCAGGUGAGAGGAAUCUACCUUCAUCACAUAAACACAAUGGUUCCGGUGAAUCUAUUCUCCCUUCUUGGAACAAUUCCUCAAGAUAAAGAUCAGAGUAUUCAAUAUCUGACGCUAAAGAUACGGGAGAUGAUGAUCGUUUACCUGUGAAGUUCAACUGCUCAAAUGUAUGGCAGCCAUAUUCAGGAAUAGGGGAAUCAGGAGACAGGGGUGUAUAUUCAUCUAAUGAUGUAAAGGCUUCUGGUGAGGACGUUCUUUCUUCCUCUAACCAUUCAAGGAAAGAUAAUGAAUAGUCAUUUUCAGAUGUGAGGGAGUCUGGUGAUAUUGGUCUAUGCUCACUCAGGCCUCUCACAGUCCCGUUGGUGUUUAUUUCUGAUUCCAGUGACUCUGGUCUGUCUUCACUGAACAACUCUUCAAAACACAUUUCAGAGUAUUCAUUAUCAGAUACUAGAGAUAUGGGAGAUGAUGUUCUAUUACUUCCAUAGACAAACUGCUCAAGUAUUGGGCAAACAAACGUAGGAAUAGGUGAAUCAGGAGACAGAGGUCUACAUGUAUCUGGUGAAUAUGAUGAAUCUGGAGACCACAAUCUGUCUUCAUUGAACAACUCAUUCAGACACAACUCAGAAUAUUCAAUGUCUAGGAUUGAUGAUGUGGGAGAGGAUGAUCUACUUCGUGUGUAGAUUGACGUCUCAAAUUUAGCAUGACCAAAGUCAGGAAUAGGUGAAUCAGGAGACAGAAGUCUACCUUCAUCACAUAAACACAAUGGUUCAGGUGAAUCUAUUCUCCCUUCUUGGAACAAUUCCUCAAGAUAAAGGUCAGAGUAUUCAAUAUCUGACGCUAAAAAUAUGGGAGAUGAUGAUCGUUUACCUGUGAAGUUUAUCUGUUCAAAUGUAUGGCAGCCAUAUUCAGGAAUAGGUGAAUCAGGAGACAGAGGUCUACCUUCAUCACAUAAACAUAAUGGUUCCGGUGAAUCUAUUCUCCCUUCUUGGAAUAAUUCCUCAAGAUAGAGGUCAGAGUAUUCAAUAUCUGAUGCUAAAGAUAAGGGAGAUGAUGAUCUGCUAGUUGAACAUAUCAGCUGGUCACAUGUAGAAUGAAUAUAUUCAGGAAUAGGUGAAUCAGGAGACAGAGGUCUACAUGCAUCUGGUGAAUAUGAUGAAUCUGGAGACCACGUUCUGUCUUCAUUGAACAACUCAUUCGGACAUAACUCAGAAUACUCAAUAUCUAGGAUUGGUGAUGUGGGAGAGGAUGAUCUACUUCCUGUGUAGAUGAACGUCUCAAAUUUAGCAUGACCAUAGUCAGGAAUAGGUGAAUCAGGAGACAGAAGUCUACCUUCAUCACAUAAACAUAAUGGUUCCGGUGAAUCUAUUCUCCCUUCUUGGAACAAUUCCUCAAGAUCAAGGUCAGAGUAUUCAAUAUCUGACGCUAAAGAUACGGGAGAUGAUGAUCGUUUACCUGUGAAGUUUAUCUGUUCAAAUGUAUGGCAGCCAUAUUCAGGAAUAGGGGAAUCAGGAGACAGGGGUGUAUAUUCAUCUAAUGAUGUAAAGGCUUCUGGUGAGGAUGUUCUUUCUUCCUCUAACCAUUCAAGGAAAGAUAAGGAAUAGUCAUUUUCAGAUGUGAGGGAGUCUGGUGAUAUUGGUCUAUGCUCACUCAGGCCUCUCACAGUCUCGUUGGUGUUUAUUUCUGAUUCCGGUGACUCUGGUCUGUCUUCACUGAACAACUCUUCAAAACACAUUUCAGAGUAUUCAUUAUCUGAUACUAGAGAUAUGGGAGAUGAUGUUCUAUUACUUCCAUAGACAAAUUGCUCAAAUAUUGGGCAAACAAACGCAGCAAUUGGUGAAUCAGGAGACAGAGGUCUACAUGCAUCUGGUGAAUAUGAUGAAUCUGGAGACCACGUUCUGUCUUCAUUGAACAACUCAUUCGGACAUAACUCAGAAUACUCAAUGUCUAGGAUUGGUGAUGUGGGAGAGGAUGAUCUACUUCCUGUGUAGAUGAACGUCUCAAAUUUAGCAUGACCAUAGUCAGGAAUAGGUGAAUCAGGAGACAGAAGUCUACCUUCAUCAUAUAAACAUAAUGGUUCCGGUGAAUCUAUUCUCCCUUCUUGGAACAAUUCCUCAAGAUCAAGGUCAGAGUAUUCAAUAUCUGACGCUAAAGAUACGGGAGAUGAUGAUCGUUUACCUGUGAAGUUUAUCUGUUCAAAUGUAUGGCAGCCAUAUUCAGGAAUAGGGGAAUCAGGAGACAGGGGUGUAUAUUCAUCUAAUGAUGUAAAGGCUUCUGGUGAGGAUGUUCUUUCUUCCUCUAACCAUUCAAGGAAAGAUAAGGAAUAGUCAUUUUCAGAUGUGAGGGAGUCUGGUGAUAUUGGUCUAUGCUCACUCA
ensembl:lncRNA